GAGUAAACCUUUGAGAUAGGGAUGCAGAAUCCUAGGCUCUAGGGUUUCAGCCGAGCGAAGCGAGACAACGUUGCUCGGCGAAGCCGAAAAAGCAACGGCCCGAAGGGAAGGGCGCGAAGCGGCCGCAUAAAUCCCUAUCUCUCCGCCA
rnacentral:sRNA from 1 species